CAGUCGAACGAAAAGACGGAAAGAGCUUGCUCUUUUCAGAAUUGAGUGGCACACUGGUGAGUAACACGUAAACAACCUGCCUUCUGGAUGGGGACAACAGACGGAAACGACUGCUAAUACCGAAUAAGUUCCAAGAGCCGCAUGGCCCAUGGAAGAAAAGGUGGCCUCUACCUGUAAGCUAUCGCCUGAAGAGGGGUUUGCGUCUGAUUAGCUGGUUGGAGGGGUAACGGCCCACCAAGGCGACGAUCAGUAGCCGGUCUGAGAGGAUGAACGGCCACACUGGAACUGAGACACGGUCCAGACUCCUACGGGAGGCAGCAGUGGGGAAUCUUCCGCAAUGGGCGAAAGCCUGACGGAGCAACGCCGCGUGAGUGAUGACGGCCUUCGGGUUGUAAAACUCUGUGAUCCGGGACGAAAAGGCAGAGUGCGAAGAACAAACUGCAUUGACGGUACCGGAAAAGCAAGCCACGGCUAACUACGUGCCAGCAGCCGCGGUAAUACGUAGGUGGCAAGCGUUGUCCGGAAUUAUUGGGCGUAAAGCGCGCGCAGGCGGCUUCCCAAGUCCCUCUUAAAAGUGCGGGGCUUAACCCCGUGAUGGGAAGGAAACUGGGAAGCUGGAGUAUCGGAGAGGAAAGUGGAAUUCCUAGUGUAGCGGUGAAAUGCGUAGAUAUUGGGAGGAACACCAGUGGCGAAGGCGGCUUACUGGACGAUGACUGACGUUGAGGCUCGAAAGCGUGGGGAGCAAACAGGAUUAGAUACCCUGGUAGUCCACGCCGUAAACGAUGACUACUA
rnacentral:rRNA from 1 species